rnacentral:rRNA from 1 species
CCCUUAGAUGUUCUGGGCUGCACGCGCGCUACACUGAUGCGCUCAACGAGUUUUAACCUUGCCUGGAAAGGUUGGGUAAUCUUUUUAAAACGCAUCGUGAUGGGGAUAGAUUAUUGCAAUUAUUAAUCUUCAACGAGGAAUUCCUAGUAAGCGCGAGUCAUCAGCUCGUGCUGAUUACGUCCCUGCCCUUUGUACACACCGCCCGUCGCACCUACCGAUUGAAUGGUCCGGUGAAGCCUCCGGAUUGGCGCGCACCUCGGUGCCGCCGAGAAGUUGGCUAAACCUUACCAUUUAGAGGAAGGUGAANUCGUANCA